rnacentral:lncRNA from 1 species
AGAAUGUUAUUUUCUCGGCUGAGUCAUCACUUACCCUAUUUCCAACCACCAGCUGAGUAUAUGUGUGGAGACAGCCAAAAGUAGCAUUUGACCCAGACUGCCUUCUUCCAACUGUUAAACAUAGAAGAUCUGUGAUGAUCUGGAGAGGCUAUAUCUCGGAAAUCCACUUUAUGACAGAAUUAAUAGUCAAGACUAUUUAAGCAUUUUACCUGAUCAAAUUCAUCCAAUGGUUGCAGAACUGCAUCCAGGUCUUGCAACUGUAGAGCAAGACAGAGAGGACUAGAGACCUGAAGACCCAAACUUUUGUCCUCCUGCUCAGAUAUCGGGAAUGCUCAACACCCUUGUCCAGUGAGUCCACAAGUACACCAGCAUGCCCAAGUCUUUUGAAGACUUUGAACUUAAACUAAUGCUGCUAUAGAUAACAUUGUCAAGAAAAGUGAAGCUGUCAACAACUUUGACAGUCUCACCUGCAACAGUGAUGAGAUUGUCCCCCAGGAAGCCAACAAAUGACUGAAUCUUUCUUAACUCUUGGGUCAAGACACAUAAGCAUUCUUGACAAUCUUCCAUAAAAGGGUAUUUGGUUUGUUGGCAGAGUCUCAUUUACCACUAUGCUACAACCACUGGCUCACAAACAUGUCGUUUCUUUUUUUUUCCCCAAAUUUCUGCUACUACUGUAAAAGUUUCUGUCCCUUUGAAAUAGCUAGCUGGAUAAUGGUUCCGGUUUGUCCUAUUUGAUGUAUUUGCAUCCAAAAUUUACUUCACACUUACAGUUACUCCUUCCCACAAUUUCAGUUUAAUGGAAGGUCAGCUCUAAUUGAACAGACUUAAGCCUUUCGUUACCAUAUUUGUUUUGAUACUGUGCUUUUGUUUCAAUUAAUUUUGAAAGUAAUCAAGAAUCUAGUAAUUUUGUCAUCAUAAGAUGGUGUGUGGAACAUCAAUUAACAUGAAAUUUUGAGGGAAGGUUUCAAGUAGAUCACUGUAAAAUAGGAAAUUUAUAUCAUAGAACCAAGGCUGAUCUAAGGGGUUGGUAUCAAAAGGGAUAAGGGAGUUCCAGUCAUCACCAACACAUCAUUUUUUUUUGCACAAAGUGUGCCUUAAUUUCUUUUUUUUUUUAAGAUGGUAGAAUAAGGAAUAUUUAGCUACUAUUUCCAGUUGGACUUCUCUUUAAGUAUGUCUUACAGAAGCUUAAGCUAAACCUCAGUUCCAUUCAUCUCCUCAGUAUUUACAGGCCUCUCACGUCAACUUAUCCAUUGCAACCAUUCUCUGUAUUUCACUUUUUAAUGUCUAAGAAAACCCAUUGAUGGAAAAUUGUGUUUGUCUUAAAUGCUAUUUAAAAGAGAUUACCUCCACCAAUGCAGACAUUUUCUGUAUGCAUAAUAUUUAGAUGAUUAAUGAAGAGUAUCGUUAAAGAUUUACUGUAAGACCGCCUUCCACUGAAUGAUAACAAAAUGAAGUUGUUUCUGUCAUUGUUCCAUUUGAACUUUGUUGGAUCAUGUGAUUUUUGCUCUGAAGCAUUUUAUGGGUCAUGAAAAUAUUUAGAUCCAACAAUCUCUUCACCAUAAACAAAAUACAACGAAUCUCUAAUUUUUUUUCUUUUUUUUUUUUUUUUGUCACUAUUGUAUACUUUAGAAAUGUUUGCUUGUGCUUGCAGCUUCUUUCUUGAUUAUUUUAAUGAAUGCUUUUCCUCUGGAAUCCCAGAAUAGUAGUGAUGUUAUGAUACUGUAUGGCUAUAUCUGAAAUAACUUAAUGAUCCAGAGAAAAUAAACACAUGGUUUCCUAAUGUUUCAUCCUAUGUACACAUAGCUUCCAUCUCUACUAAAUCUUUGACUCUUCUCAUCUAUCUUACGAAACGAUAGCUGUCUGAGUUUCCUUUUUCAAAUGAUAUGUUUGAAUUACUAACCAAACAUUUUUGUUAACUCAUUGAUAAAUAUUUGUUCUUGCAGUAUUUCAUGCAUAUCUGUUGAUAUUGCUGUCAGCCUAAUUGCUCAGCUAAUUAGGGCCCAAGACCAGCAAUUUUGAAGGGAUUCAUUGAACUCAGUAUAUAACUGGUAUUUUAUUUCUUCAAACCUGAAGGUAUGAAAGGCAACAAUGACUGUUGCAGGAUUUGAACUUGGAAUAUAGAGAGCUAGAACAAAUACCACAAGGCAUUUAGCUUGAUGCUGUUGACCUUGAUUAACAAUGCUAUGCCACCCGUUGUUCAUAGUAGCUUCAGUCUUUGGCCAAUUUUCCUUAAGUCACAAUACUCUUAGAACAUAUCUAAUUCAUGUUCAUGCCUUAUCUCUUCCUGUCUGUUCCAAUAACAAUUGUGAGAAUACAAUUCACAUAUCCAAUAUUUUUUUACAGUUUUGCUGUAGUGUGAUCAGAAAUUUCAUCUCUUUAUAUAUAGCCACUUAAAAAUUUUCUGUUUCACUCCUCCUCCACCAGCAUUUUGUAGAAACAUUAUAAGUUUGUUUAUUAAAGGAAAUCUAUUUAGUGUUAGUUGAUUUCACUCUUUGCUUAGUUAUGUUUUUGUUUAAUAUGUAGAAGUCUAAUAGAUAAGAGAAUUGGACAACCAAUUCAGGAUUUCAUUGUCAUACCUCAGUUUACUUCGCCAUAAUAGUUAAUAGAACUUGAUGGCCAUGUGAUUUCUGAUUACUAAGUAAUGAGGGUUUUAAUCAGACAAAUAAUCAUACCCCAUCUAUUUAAUGCCACAGAAUUAAGAAUUAAGUGAAAAUAUUUAUCAUCACAUCACACUACUCCGAGUGGUUGGCAUGAGGAAGAGCAUCCACUCAUAGAAACCAUGCCAAAUCAGACUGGGGUUUGGUGCAGCCCCUCAGCUUGCCAGCCCUGGUCAAACUGUCCAACCCAUGCUAACAUGGAUGAUGGGCAUUAAAUGAUGAUGAUGAUUAUUGUUAUGGUCGAGGGUGGUGGACUGAUAGAAUCAUCUGAGUGCUGAACAAAGUAUCUUGUGGUUUUUGUUUUUACUCUUACAUUCUGAGUCUAGAUCUCACUGAGGUCUAUUUUCAUCCUUACAGGGUAAUCAAAUAAUGUACCCAUCAAGUACUGUUGUCGGUAUAACUGACUAACUCCCUCCCGCAAAAUUGAUGACCAUGUGUCCAAAUGAGAGCUCAUUAUUACUCUAUUGCCUUGUGGUAUUGGUGUUGUGCCUGGUUUAGUUAUACUUCCUGUUGAACCACACAGUGAGGAAUGGGAUGAGGAAUGCUUUGUUUCUUGAUUAUAUAAAAGUUUCUUUUGAUUUUCAUUUCUGUUAUUAUUUUCUGCUGAAGACUCUGGUUAAUUGUUGCUGACCCUAGUAGACAUGUUUUCUAUAUUGAACUCACUUCCAAAUUAAGAUCAUGUUUUCCCAGGUUUGUUCUCAAAGUUCUUUGUUACAGUUCUGAAGGUCAUAAGGAUAACUGAUAGGAUCAUGACUUUCUUAAUUUAUUUGUUCCAGUGUUUGAGGACUUCUACUCCAUCGGUACAAUAUUCUUUUUUUUCCAUUCUAUUUUUUUUUUUUAAUUCUAGUAACAAAUGGGCAUGCCAUAUCAAUUACAAUACAUAGUUUCUUCUAUGAUAUCUUGCCUGUUGUACUCUUUUCUCCUUUUGGUUUGAAUUGGAAGAUCCCCUAAAAACCUCAAAUUGUUUUAAGGGUCGUUCUUUCUAUUCUCAGAAAAUAGUCAAAGCACUUUUAUAUGCAUGCAAAACUAAAUUUCCUGCAAAAUUUCUUGUCUUUUAUUGUAGCAAUCUUAGCAUGCCUCUAAUUAUUGUAUUAAUUUUCUACUAACUGUGAACAUCCUCAUAAAAUAUGAGCUAGAGUCUCAUCUGAAUCAUUACAUAUUUUGCAUUGGGUGAACAGUCCUCUUGUAUCAAGAUCUUCAUCCAUUUUACCUUUAGGUCUGUUCUUGUGCUGCCAAAGUAAUUCCCUUGGUUUCUUUAAUACUAUUUUUUAAAACUAUUGCCAGCUGUUAUUGUCAUACCUUAUUUCUUUUGUGUUUUUGAAAACCACUGAAUGAAGUUUUCUUUUGUUUUUUCAUUGUUGAUGCUCACUUUUCAAUAUAUUUCUCUUUUCACUCUUUUUGGGCUUUACAAAUUCUAUAAAUAGUCCUCUUUCAUUUAUUACAUCUUCAAGGAAAAUUUCUUCCUUUUAAGAUAUUUAAAAAGAAAUUUUUCUUUAUUUUAAUGGCUGGCAACCGUGUCUUCUAGUUUGAAUACUUCUUUGAUACCCAUUAACCCUUUCUUCCUGCUCUUUUCCAGUAUAACCGAUCCACAUUUGAUUGGAG